UGCUGGCAGCGGAAGCCUCUGACACCCUCCUCUCCUGGGCUCUGAGGAGGUGCUGAGCUCCAGUCUGCCCUGCAGAGGAGCUUGGGGCCAGGCGAGGAUUCACUCCAAAUCACAGCUGUUGGGAAUCUUGGGUCUACUCUCAGUGAGUUUUAAAAAUAUAUAAAAUUAUCCAUUUCUGUUGUUGAAAGAGCCUGAAACAAUGUAGAUCACCAGCCAGAUUCUGGUCAUGAGAAAGCAUCACCGUAAGGACAAGGCCGAACCAUCCUUCUCCAAGGUUCUAAUCCUGGUCAGUUCUUAUAAAGCCAUCCAGCCGUCCUGGAAAUCCUGCUCCGGCCCACCUGCUGUGUGGGGCUUCAGGAAAUGAGUUACCGAACCCUGGAGAGUCAGAAGACCGAAGGCGUCCAGAGAGGCCCCAGUCAGUGAGCCUGGCCCAGGGGACAUAAUCGCCUGGUCCAUACGGAGGAGUGAGAUUUACCUGAAUUCACAGAUGAAAGACAGAGAGAACAGGCUGCCUGCGGCUGAGCACCUGGAGUCUGCGACACCUUGGGUUGUCACCAGCGGGGCUGCAGGUGCUGGGGUCCAGGUCCCCUCUGAGCCCGGCCUAGCAGGGCCACGCGCACCUCCUGUGUCCAGUUCCACCUUGGUCCUGCAGACGUGGUGACUGGAGCCCAAGGGCCUGUGACCGGAUCUGUCCCCACUUCUGGGCCAAUUUCCUGGGCUGUGUUUUGAUAAGGGCUCCCGUCCUUUCUGCUUCAUGGUGGGCUGCAUCAGACUCUCUCAAACUGCUUACUCAAGAUUAUGAAAACAUUAGUUUUCCUAGGGAAGAAGGACUGAGCCUGAUGUGUUUGCAGUGGUCCUCCAGCCUGUGGCCCCUGUCUGCCCUUGAAAAAUGUUUGCUGAGUGCAUAAGAGGGCUGAUUAAUGAGUUAAAUAGCUGAGGUGUGGCUUGUUUUGCUCACACUGGAUGAUAUCCUAGAAAUGGACUCCUUCUGAGGGAGCAAUUAAUGUAGAUUUGAUUUUAUUACAAAAAUAAACUAUCCCUUAUUUUGUAUUAACUGAUUUUUUUGUUGCAAUUGGAUCAGUGGAAAAAACUGAGAUUAAAUCCUCGUUAGCAUAUAACUGUUGUAGAACUGUCCAUGUGGCCUGCAUGAAAAGCCUUGCAGGAUUAAAUGACAUUGAGCAGGUGCUUACUAGGUGCCAGACGCCUGAAUGUUUUGAAGAACAAAAUAAAUACUUUCUUCGGUGCAGUGUAAUAUCCUGGAUUGAAUCUUGAACCUUAGUGGAAAACUGGCAAACUGAACAAAACCCAGAGUUCACUGCGAUGUCCCAGGGUGGGUGCCUCUGCCUGUCACAUGUGCCCCGGUGGAGCCCUCACCAAGCUGGGCCAGGACAUGCCGGCACUGGCCCUGCUCUCUGGGCAGCUCCUGUGCUAUGCCUCAGGUUCUCCAGAAUGAAAGCGUCCUUCUCGUGGGUGCUCAUUCAUUACCCCUUACAACCAGCCUUGAUGGAAGUGUCAUUUUUAGCCUCUUUUAUAAGCAGGAGUCUAGAGGGCAGAGAGGUUAAAUUAUUUCCCGGGGCGGCCACCACGGGUGCGUUGACACGGGUUUCCAGGGUAAAGCCUUAAAUUCCUCAAUCCUGGCGGAGAGGUUGACUUCUCCAGUCCUAAGGGGCCCCGGCUCCGGGCUGGUCCCACCCCGCCUCCUUCUGCUUGGCCCAGGUCCGCCCAGAGAUCGCUCGCCUAAAACACAAGUUUUGGAGAGGAUUGAAACUACGUGCAGCAAGGAAAACACGCUGAAGCAAAACUCUCCAGAAAAAAGGCUUUAUUUUCAGCCUUGGAAGCAUUCACUCGCUGCCUCGAGGCAGAAUAUGAUCUUCACCAGCAGACUGAAACUAGCACCUGUGAGAAGCAAAUCCAUGACCAUUAAAAUAUUCAGUCUUGGGUGGGAUAAAACAAACUGUUGUCUCAUUGAAGUUGUGCCAGGAAAAGGGCACAGUUUAGCUGGCUCUGCAGCCAUGACCAGGAAGCAGCUACAGUUGCUUGGAAUUCACAUCACAGCCCGGACACCAAUGGAACCAUCUGGACUGGAUUAUAAAGAUGGUGGUGCCGCUGCUGAUCGGCGCUCCUCUAGGAUACUGUGUGAGCUCACCCCGAUUCCUGUCCCUACUGUCCUGAUAGUACAGUCUCCUCUUCAUCUGUCAGUGCAUCCUCUGCACCAGUAAUAAAACGAGUGAGCUGAGGCAGGUGUAAGGAAAGCCAGUGAAUUCUACCUUCCCCCGCUUCUGGAGGUGCCACUGUAAGUGACACGAAUGACACUGAGCGUGUGGCACACGCAACCCCCGGCCUCGCUGUCUGGACAACGCUUGGGCCUGUGACAGGUGUUGGCACUGAGUUUAAUCGAGCUUCAAAAGAUGAAUUGGGUGGUUCUGCCACCUGCCUCGCAAGCACCAAGGACCCGAGUUCGAUCCCCGGUACCAAAAAAAAAAAAAAAAGAUGAAUUGGGAAACUAUCCUUUUAACUCUAUGAUCCAGAAAAAUGUAAAAAACAUAUCGAAGAAUUAUUUGUAUCUGGAAGAUAACUGUAGACUCACUUGAAGUUGUGAGAGAUAAUGCUGUGCCAUUUAUGCAGUUUCACCCACUUAAUGCCUUGCAAAGCCAGCACUGUGUCACAACUAGGGUCUCGACAUCAACGUGACGGAGGCAACACAAAGUCUCUGCCAUCACCGCAAGUGUCUCCAUGUCGCUCUCUACAGCUCCUUCCUUCCCUCUCCUCUCAGGGGCUCUAACUCCUAACCACGCCCAACACGUUCUCCAUAACAACUACGUCACUGCAAGGAAUAAUGCACCUGGGAUAUACACGGCAUCAUUCAGUUUAUUGACCCUUGGAACUGGCAUUUUUUCUCUCAAUAUGAUUCUCUGGAAACGUAUACAGUAAGAAUUCUAGUUCUUUUGCCUUUUCAUAUAAAUUUUAGAAUAAUUUUGUUGACAGCUGCAAAAAAAAGUCCUGCUGUGAUUUUCCUAAGGAUUAUAUUAAGUCUUCAUACCAGUGGAAGAAUAAUUGACAUCUUUAUUAUUUAGUCUUCUACCGCAUGCACAGUCAUUCCUCUUUUAUUUAGAUCUUCAGUUUCUUUCAUCAGUGUUUCGUAGUUUUCAGCAUAAACAUCUUGUACAUGUUUUGUUGAUUUGCACCUAAGUAUUUCAUUGAAAAUGUUAUUAAUGCAUUUUAAAUUUUGUAGUUUAUAUAAAUGCCGUUCAGUUUUGUAUGUUUAUCUUGUGACCUUGCCAAAUAUAUUUAUUAGAGGAAUAUUUAAUAGAUCCAUUGGAUUUUCUGCAUAAACAAUGUCAUUUUUAAAUAGAGACUAUUUUGUUUUACUUUUCUCUUUAAUUUUUGGUACCAGGGAUCGAACUCGGGUCCUUGAGCUUGUGGAGCAGGCAGUGGAACCACUGAGCUAAAUCCCCAGCCCUUGUUUUAUUUUUCUUUCCCUUCUCUGCUCUUUUGGCUCCUUCUUCCCCUACUGUGCUGCCUAAGGUCGGUGAGAAGAGGAAUCCCUCCAUUCUCCGUGAUUCCAUAGGUGUAGGGGGAACAUUCAGGUUUUCACCUUCAAGUAUAAUGCUGUUAAAUUUUGCUAAAUAUGGUUUCUCUGUCACUUGACAUGAGUAUAAAUUUUUCCUUGUCCUGUUAACAAUACUUUGUAUGUACUGUCAAAUUCUAUUUGCUAGUAUUUUCUCAAGAAUUUUGUAUCUGUAUUUACAGUUUGCUGAUUUGUAGUGUUUUGGGUUUUCUUGUUUGACUCUUUUGUUUGGUAUAAAGGUAAUAUUGGCUUUCUAAAAUAAAUUGUAAACUAUU